rnacentral:rRNA from 1 species
GAUGAACGCUGGCGGCGUGCCUAAUACAUGCAAGUCGAGCGAACGGACGAGAAGCUUGCUUCUCUGAUGUUAGCGGCGGACGGGUGAGUAACACGUGGAUAACCUACCUAUAAGACUGGGAUAACUUCGGGAAACCGGAGCUAAUACCGGAUAAUAUUUUGAACCGCAUGGUUCAAAAGUGAAAGACGGUCUUGCUGUCACUUAUAGAUGGAUCCGCGCUGCAUUAGCUAGUUGGUAAGGUAACGGCUUACCAAGGCAACGAUGCAUAGCCGACCUGAGAGGGUGAUCGGCCACACGGGAACUGAGACACGGUCCAGACUCCUACGGGAGGCAGCAGUAGGGAAUCUUCCGCGAUGGGCGAAAGCCUGACGGAGCAACGCCGCGUGAGUGAUGAAGGUCUUCGGAUCGUAAAACUCUGUUAUUAGGGAAGAACAUAUGUGUAAGUAACUGUGCACAUCUUGACGGUACCUAAUCAGAAAGCCACGGCUAACUACGUG